rnacentral:rRNA from 1 species
GGGGGCAACCCUGGUGGCGAGUGGCGAACGGGUGAGUAAUACAUCGGAACGUGCCCAGUCGUGGGGGAUAACGUAGCGAAAGCUACGCUAAUACCGCAUACGAACUCUGGUUGAAAGCGGGGGAUCGCAAGACCUCGCGCGAUUGGAGCGGCCGAUGGCAGAUUAGGUAGUUGGUGGGGUAAAGGCUCACCAAGCCGACGAUCUGUAGCUGGUCUGAGAGGACGACCAGCCACACUGGGACUGAGACACGGCCCAGACUCCUACGGGAGGCAGCAGUGGGGAAUUUUGGACAAUGGGCGCAAGCCUGAUCCAGCCAUUCCGCGUGCAGGAUGAAGGCCCUCGGGUUGUAAAUUGCUUUUGUACGGAACGAAAAGGCUUUCUCUAAUACAGAGAGCUGAUGACGGUACCGUAAGAAUAAGCACCGGCUAACUACGUGCCAGCAGCCGCGGUAAUACGUAGGGUGCAAGCGUUAAUCGGAAUUACUGGGCGUAAAGCGUGCGCAGGCGGUGAUGUAAGACAGGUGUGAAAUCCCCGGGCUUAACCUGGGAACUGCAUUUGUGACUGCAUCGCUGGAGUGCGGCAGAGGGGGAUGGAAUUCCGCGUGUAGCAGUGAAAUGGGAGUUUGAUCCUGGCCCAGGGUCAGCUUAACGCGUGAAGUUGACCCGCC